rnacentral:rRNA from 1 species
UNUGGAAUCCCGAAGAGAUUUGGGAGUGCUNGCAAGAGAAGCCNGAACACAGGUGNUGCAUGGCUGUCGUCAGCUCGUGUCGUGAGAUGUUGNGUUAAGUNCCGCAACGAGCGCAACCCUUGUCAUUAGUAGCUACGAAAGGGCACUCUAAUGAGACUGCCGGUGACAAACCGGAGGAAGGUGGGGAUGACGUCAAGUCCUCAUNGCCCUUAUGGGUAGGGCUUCACACGUCAUACAAUGGUCGGGACAGAGGGUCGCCAACCCGCGAGGGGGAGCCAAUCCCAGAAACCCGAUCGUAGUCCGGAUCGCAGUCUGCAACUCGACUGCGUGAAGUCGGAAUCGCUAGUAAUCGCGGAUCAGCAUGUCGCGGUGAAUACGUUNCCGGGUCUUGUACACACCGCCCGUCACAUCCAUGGGAGUGGGUUUUACCAGAAGUAGUUAGCCUAACCGCAAGGGGGGCGAUUNCCACGGUAGGAUUCAUGAACUGGGG